GGAACUCGAGGCCAUUUGAAACAGAGGAUUCAACUUGAUUCAACGAGCUUACGAUUGUCUGGGCCUCCUCACCUUCCAAACUGUAAGAGAUAAAGGGGAAACCCUCAUCCUGAAGAGGAAUAGAUUCUCAUGGCACUGUUUUCCCUGCUCUUCCACUUCUGAGAGGGACAGAGGCGCGGGAAGCAGUAAAGUUUGAAAAGAAGAAAAGAGAGAAGUAGACAUCGACAAUUCAUGGUGAAGACCAGUACAUAAAUGAGAGGUCUCUGCGGUGGUAAGGUUACCCAGAGGUACUGUGGAUCCUGGAGAAGAGUAACAAGUGCCCAAGCCACUUGAUCGAAGAUCAAAAGUUCACGGACGGCCACGGUCACUGCAAAACUUCACAGAUGGGCGACCAUUGAGAAUGUUUGCUAACACGUGAGUCUCAGUUUAUUAAGCCCUAUGCUGAGGCAUUCUCUGUGGAGGGAAAAACCCAUUAAAAAGUUUAUGCACCUAAAAAAAAAAUAUGCGUCAACGAAAGCUGAAUUAUGGCUGCUGGAUGAAUCUCCCACAUAAGGAACGCUUGGAACAGAAUUACGGAUUAUAUCAUCUGUGAUUUGUCUGGGCCCAAAUAGGCUGAAACACACAAUAAUCUUGAGCUGGAACAACCUCUGUAUCCUCCAGGCUCUCUCCCGCCUCCAAGACAGGGACUUCGGACAGGGUGCCCUCAACACUUACGAAGGACAACAGAAGCAGACAGCUGGUUGAUUCUGUGAUGCUGGAAGUACGAGAGCUGUCCCCAGACAGCGGGCUCCUUGUUUUAAACUCAAUUCAGCCAACAUUUUGGAGCACUUUCUAUAUGCCCGACACUCUGUCCGGGGCAGUGGGGGAUUCAAACAUGAGCGGGACACAACACACACCGAGUCUUUAAGGCCCCUGGGAGAAGCCCAUCUGCUGUCAGAGCUCUGAAGAGAACGUCUUCCCUCUGGUGAAGGUGUGGGGAGCUCUUCACAGACAGGGGCGUGCAGGAUGCGGGUACUCUUCCCAUGCACGGCGAAAGCCUGAGGGCCAGUGUCCUUCCCGGGUCCUGGUGGAGAGACUCGCCUUGCCCCUCAUUUCUGGCCAGGAGCCCGCUUCCAAAGUAGGCAGCUGGCGUGUGCAGGCUCCUUCCCUACACUGGGAGAACACUUGGGGCACCCGCCACAGACUGGGCAUGUGUGGAGAGCGGGUGUUCUCCAGAGUGUAGGAGGGGGGUCCCGGUCCACCCAGCUUUGCAGCUGCCUCCCAGCUUCUGGCCGGAGCCCCUUGCCUCAGUCCUGGGUUCCUCUGGGGCUGGGAUGAAGAGAGAUGCAAGGGCAGCGGUGCUGUGGGUUCACCCCAGUUACCCAUCACUGGCCUUCUCUGGAGGAGUGCAUUUGUCCUUUGACAGAGCCCCCAACACAGACAUGGGGUCCCCAGCACAGCAGCAUUCCCCAGUGUGGGUGACGCCCCCUCUAGCCAGUCUCUCAUCUCCUCCCCUUACCUCUGCUCUGGCUGCACACCCCUGCACCCCGGAGCUGUCUCCCUUCUCACUGAGCAUUCACUCAGCUCAUGGGAAAAUCUCGUGCCACCCUCCCACACCAAGAGGCACAAGCACCGUUGGACCAUGCUGGCUGGUUCCCCUGGUCCUGCCAGGAGAACCUCUCAGGCAGGGGCUGCCUUCAAUCUUCUUCACGGGAGAACUCAGUCUUCCAGUCACAUGUCCCUCACGCUUUGCUGCAGCAGUGGCACCAGGAAGGUCUCUGGGGUGCCACCCCUUAGCCAGACAACUCAAUGAAGAGCUCUCUGCCACCCUUUACUGAGCUUGGGAUCAGAAUGUGGGGCUGGGGGAAGGAACCCCCCACACUCCCAAAGGGAAGGAGGAAAAAUGCUCUAUCUAGACUCUCUCCCAGGGGAAAAGAUGCCAGCAGAGGCAGUGAGUUAAGUGACUGAAGAUCUCAGGGGAGGAACGGUCAGCUGGGAUUUCCUUCUGGAAUGCUAGGUUGAAUUUGUUCUGGAACGGUAACAAGACAGUCUCUGCUUUCAAAAGAAGUAGCCUUUGAUGUAUUGUUUGGCGGCAGCUCCACAAGGCUAAGAUCAGAUGUACCCACAACUUCCCCUGGUCCACAAACAGGACACGAGGAGAUGAAACACUUGGCCGAGCUGAGCUCAGGGCAAGGUCUGGUUAUUAGGCGAGAAAACGUCUGGCCUCAAAGACGCCGAGUUCCUCAUAACGCUGCAAGGUUUCUUUGAUGUGAGACGGGAACUUUUUAUUUGGUGGAGCGUCAGGGUACAGUGCCGGGAGCAGGGGGACCCUGGGUUUCCACUGGAUGCUGCCAUACGUGGGGAGGCCAGCAGAAGCCCCGAGGGGUGUGUGUAGCAGGGGAGGAGGCUCCGGGCUCCGUGUGAGGGAGAACUUCCUAAUUACCAGCAUCUUCUCCCAGCACAAAGUGGAGAGCUCCCCAUCACCAGAAGUGUUCAAGCAGAGUCUACACAACUGCAUGGCACUGGACUCGAUGCUUCUUGCCCGCCCUACUAGAUUGGAAGCUCCUUGAAGCACAGGUCUUUAGACCUCAGGCCUGCUGGUGGUUUGGAAGCUGAUUGUUAUCCAGCCUGAUCAUCUGGGCCUAAUGAGCUGGAUCAUCAUUUCUUCAUCAGGGAAGUCUGAUUCUCCUGUGGUUUUGUUCCCACCCCUGUGAGGUCAGCAGGGAGCUAACCCUUUAUCUCAGGAAGGCAACAGGAGCCGGAGAGGAGCCGGGUGACAGGCUCAGAGUGGCGUUUAUUCAGGGAGCAAGGGUUUGAAUUCACACACACUGCUACGUUUCUUGAGCCCCUGGGAAAGGCUCUCCUGGCAGCACCUGCACAGCUGCACAGCCCGGCACCCUGGGGAGUGGAAGGUGCCCAGCGAUCCCCACGUGCAAUCAGUGGGCCCGCCAAGGCUGCCACAGCGCCUGUCACUCCAGUAUCGCAUAUCUCGAGGCCUUGGACUUGGGGGGGAGGGAGAGGGGCAAUUUUUCACUUCUUCUGCAAUGUAUUUCUACAGUAUAACAAUUGCUUAUAAAAAC
ensembl:lncRNA